GAUGAAGAACGUAGCGAAAUGCGAUAAGUAAUGUGAAUUGCAGAAAUCAGUGAAUCAUCGAAUCUUUGAACGCAUCUUGCGCUCCUUGGUAUUCUGAGGAGCAUGCCUGUUUGAGUGUCAUUAAAUUCUCAACUACACUGACUUUGAAUUGGUGUGGCUUGGAUUUGGGGGGAAAAUUGUUGUGGGCUUUUUGUAUAGUCUGCUCCCCUGAAAUUGAUUAGCGGUACCUUUGUGGAACUGUCUACAGGUGUGAUAAUUAUCUACAUCUUAGACAUCUGCUGGAAUGCUGCUUUCUAAACCUUACUUGUAUUGACAAUCUUGACCUCAAAUCAGGUAGGACUACCCGCUGAACUUAAGCAUAUCAAUAAGCGGAGGA
rnacentral:misc_RNA from 1 species